rnacentral:rRNA from 1 species
AUGUCUCACGGGUGUGUGGUAUGCAGUCAAGGCAUUGGUUCAUGUGGUUUCCUGCUGCUGGCAUAUGUAGGUUUACCGCUGGAUUCAAGUCUAGAAAUGUUUUAUUUUCUUAAAAUUGAUUUAUCAUAUGCUUUCAUGAUUUCAUCAGGAAAGAGAUGCAGACGAGAGGAAGAGAGCCUCCCCCAAGCUCUGUCUAGGCGAUGCACGGGCGACGGCCACCCUUCCUGUUAUUGCCUCCAUGGCUGGCUGCUCAUCCCCAGGAACCUCCUCCCCUCUCACUUGGAACACAGGUAUCUAGGGCAGGGCGUGGUCACAUUGCAGGCAGCGAGGAGCAGCGCAAAGUUGUCUUGGCUGUGCCCUGCAUCGAGGAGGAACACAGGUAUUUACAAAUCGAGGAGGAAAACAUGUAGUUUUCUGUAUUUUUCUGUUUGUUAUUUUGUAACUUUAUGCUUCACCUGUCCUGAAUUAUACGUAUACUCAUGUUGUCAGAUACAUAGGUAUACAGAUACAUAG